UUUAAUUCUAUUAGGAGUCUAGUUACAGGCUGCUGAGCUGAAUUGACUUUGGGCCAGUGGUGUACUAGCACUGAGGCUCCCUUACUACAAGCUGAAAUCACUAAAGAGCUAAAAUUACUGAGAGCUGAAAUCACUGAGCUGGGAGCACUGCAGUACUG